AGGGCUUCCGUUGAUGAAAGGCACGUUCUCGAGAACACAAGCGAUGGCAAAGAGAGUUGAUGGAGAUAUUUCUGAUUCAUUCUUGUCUAGUGAGGCGAAAAGAUUCUCCAUAGUGUCAUUGAGCCCGACGAUGACAUCACUAUACCUUUCGGUGUUUGCGGUCCAGAGAACCACCACCUUAUCGACCUUAGUCUUCUCCUUGAAUUCCCUUAUGUCCUUCAUGACUUGUUGCAUUUGCUCCUUCUUGGUCCCUUUGAUCAGAUUGUUGGCACGAGAUUCCUGGUUCGCAGCAAUGAAAUCAGGGUCGUAGAUCCCGGGGAGGGGGACCAUGGACUCCAUAUAAGGUCUUAGCUGCUUCUGUAGAUCAAUAUCUAGAACCUUAGCCCUGGCC
rnacentral:misc_RNA from 1 species